CAUUUUGAGGAUUAGGAUAAUUGAUAUUUUGAUUAUGAUG
rnacentral:antisense_RNA from 1 species